rnacentral:rRNA from 1 species
UACGAAGGGGGCUAGCGUUGUUCGGAAUUACUGGGCGUAAAGCGCACGUAGGCGGCUUGUUAAGUCAGGGGUGAAAUCCUGGAGCUCAACUCCAGAACUGCCUUUGAUACUGGCGAUCUUGAGUCCGGGAGAGGUGAGUGGAACUGCGAGUGUAGAGGUGAAAUUCGUAGAUAUUCGCAAGAACACCAGUGGCGAAGGCGGCUCACUGGCCCGGUACUGACGCUGAGGUGCGAAAGCGUGGGGAGCAAACAGG